rnacentral:rRNA from 1 species
CAGUCGCCGCGGUAAUACGAAGGGUGCAAGCGUUACUCGGAAUUACUGGGCGUAAAGCGUGCGUAGGUGGUGGUUUAAGUCCGUUGUGAAAGCCCGGGGCUCAACCUGGGAAUUGCAGUGGAUACUGGGUCACUAGAGUGUGGUAGAGGAUAGUGGAAUUUCCGGUGUAGCAGUGAAAUGCGUAGAGAUCGGAAGGAACAUCUGUGGCGAAGGCGACUAUCUGGGCCAACACUGACACUGAGGCACGAAAGCGUGGGGAGCAAACAGGAUUAGAUACCCCCGUAGUCCCUGUCUCUUAUAC